CUCUCUCAGUCACUCACUCAGUCACUAACUCACUCAGUCACUCACUCACUAACUCACUCAGUCACUCACUCACUCACUCACUCACUCUCUCACUCACUCAUUCCUCACUCACUCUCACUUGCUCACUCAUUCACUCACUUUCAUUACUCAUUUGUUCACUCAUUCAUUCAUUCGUUACUCAUCCACUUACUUUCACUUGCUCACUCAUUCACUCAUUACUGACUCACUCAUCACUCAUUCACACUCACUCAUUACUCAUUCAUUCACUCACUUUCACUUGCUCACUCAUUCACUCAUUAAUGCAUGCAUGCAUUCACUUACUCAUCACUCAUUCAUUCACUGACUGCUCACUCAUCACUCACUCACUCACUCACUCAGGGGCAGCUGUCCUCAGUGCUAGCUCAGCUGAGGACAGAAAGUGCAGGACUCAGCCCCUGGGGAGGGGGUGGGCACCAGGAUCCGUGUGCCUGGUUAAGAGGCUGUGUUAGAUGGUGAGGAGGAGAAUGCUGGAUGCUGCAGUCUCUUGCGGGAUGGCCACUCUGGGCCCUGAUGCUUCGCACAGCAGGUGGCACCCAGAAAGCUUAAGCUUGCCAAAGGAACGAGGUGGACGAACAGCCCCUGAAAUCCCCACACAGCACGUGAGGCCUAGACCAAGUGCAGAGCCGAGGAGGAUGCAGGAAGGGGAUCUCCUCGCCCAGCCCCUCCAGGAGCACACGGCCCCACACAGCCUAUUGAGAAGCAGAGGGCCAGGCGCUCAAGGCUCUGUGCUCAUUCACAGAAGCACCUCUGGGCCGUGGGGUCUGGCCUGCAGGGAGCGAGAGGAAGGGGUGAGGAGGGACAGUGCUGGCUGGGUUGGGGCCCGGAAGGCCUCCGACAGACGCUGGGCCGCAGCGAUGCUCCACUUAGGUGUGGGGCCGGGCUGGGGCACCCUCCUUUCCCUGGUCAUGGGCAGGAGCAGCAGCCUGAAGGUGCCUGGGGACAGUGGGCCGCCCUCUUGGGACUGUGGGCUCUGUCGGGGCAGCUGA
rnacentral:lncRNA from 1 species